rnacentral:rRNA from 1 species
UUUUUUCCUGUAGCAAUACAGGGAAAAGUCUAGCGGCGAACGGGUGCUUAACACGUGGGCAAUCUGCCGAGAAGUGGGGGAUAGCUCGCCGAAAGGCGAAUUAAUACCGCAUGUGAUGAGAGUGGACAUCCAUUCAAAAUCAAAGUCGGGGCAACCUGACGCUUCUUGAGGAGCCCGCGGCCUAUCAGCUAGUUGGUGAGGUAACGGCCCACCAAGGCUUAGACGGGUAGCUGGUCUGAGAGGACGACCAGCCACACUGGGACUGAGACACGGCCCAGACACCUACGGGUGGCAGCAGUCGAGAAUUUUUCUCAAUGGGGGAAACCCUGAAGGAGCGACGCCGCGUGGAGGAUGAAGGUCUUCGGAUUGUAAACUCCUGUCAUUGGGGAACAAUGCGUAAAUAUUAACUGUAUUUGCGUUGAUAGUACCCGAAGAGGAAGAGACGGCUAACUCUGUGCCAGCAGCCGCGGUAAUACAGAGGUCUCAAGCGUUGUUCGGAUUCAUUGGGCGUAAAGGGUGCGUAGGCGGCGCGGUAAGUCGGGUGUGAAAUCUCGGAGCUUAACUCCGAAACUGCAUUCGAUACUGCCGUGCUUGAGGACUGGAGAGGAGACUGGAAUUUACGGUGUAGCGGUGAAAUGCGUAGAUAUCGUAAGGAAGACCAGUGGCGAAGGCGGGUCUCUGGACAGUUCCUGACGCUGAGGCACGAAGGCCAGGGGAGCAAACGGGAUUAGAUACCCCGGUAGUCCUGGCAGUAAACGGUGCACGUUUGGUGUGGGAGGAUUCGACCCCUUCUGCGCCGGAGCUAACGCGUUAAACGUGCCGCCUGGGGAGUACGGUCGCAAGAUUAAAACUC